rnacentral:rRNA from 1 species
GACGAACCGUGCGAACGUUAUUCGGAAUCACUGGGCUUAAAGCGCGUGUAGGCGGGACGGCACGUCCGUCGCUGAAAUCCCCCGGCUCAACCGGGGAACUGGCGGGGAUACGACCGUCCUGGAGGGACGUAGGGGGACCUGGAACUUCCGGUGGAGCGGUGAAGUGCGUUGAGAUCGGAAGGAACGCCCGUGGCGAAAGCGAGGUCCUGGACGUUUUCUGACGCUGAGACGCGAAAGCCAGGGGAGCGAACGGG